UGGGGUGUAGCCAAGCUGGUAAGGCAGCGGGCUUUGAACCCGUGAUCCUAGGUUCGAGUCCUAGCACCCCAG
rnacentral:tRNA from 1 species